rnacentral:rRNA from 1 species
CUAGGGGAUUUGGCCCAAACCUGCGCAAGUCCAUUGGAACAUGGCGCCCAAGAGGGUGAGAGCCCCGUCGCGCAGGCCGCAGCCUUGACAUCCCCCCGUCAAAGAGUCGAGUUGUUUGGGAAUGCAGCUCAAAGUGGGUGGUAAAUUCCAUCUAAAGCUAAAUAUUGGCGAGAGACCGAUAGCGAACAAGUACAGUGAUGGAAAGAUGAAAAGCACUUUGAAAAGAGAGUGAAACAGUACGUGAAAUUGUUGAAAGGGAAGGGCUUGCAAGCAGACACGAGUUCGCUCGGGCCAGCAUCAAUUUCGCGAGGUGGACAACACGCCAGGAAUGUGGCAGGCUCCGGCCUGUGUUAUAGCCUGCGCGCCAUACACCUCCGCGAGAUUGAGGCCUGCUCCAAAAGGAUGCUGGCGUAAUGGUUGCAAGUCGCCCGUCUUG